rnacentral:rRNA from 1 species
GACGAACGCUGGCGGCGUGCUUAACACAUGCAAGUCGAACGGAAAGGCCCUGCUUUUGUGGGGUGCUCGAUUGCCGAACGCGUGAGUAACACGUGAGUAACCUGCCCUUGACUUUGGGAUAACUUCAGGAAACUGGGGCUAAUACCCGAUAGGAGCUCCUGCUGCAUGGUGGUGGUUGGAAAGUUUCGGCGGUUGGGGAUGGACUCGCGGCUUAUCAGCUUGUUGGUGGGGUAGUGGCUUACCAAGGCUUUGACGGCUAGCCGGCCUGAGAGGGUGACCGGCGACAAGGGGACUGCGAGAGGCAGCAGAAUGCUACGGGAGGCAGCAGUCGGGAGCAUUGCAGAAUGGGCGGAAGUCUGAUGCAGCGACGCCGGGUGCGGGAAGACGGCCUUCGAGUUGUAAACCGCUUUCGAAGGUGACGAAGCGUGAGUGACGGUAACGGGUAAAGAAGCACCGGCUAACUACGUG